AAUUUUACAGGACUAUUCCUGUCACAUUUACCAUGCAAAAUACCAAUGAUAAAAACAGUACAAUCAAUUUUACUCUCUCUCUCUCUCUGAUUCUGUAAUAAUACCGAAUUUAGAGACAGAAGAAGGUGAGAUUAAUAUAUCUGACAAUGAGAUAUCUUCGCAAAUAGUGCAUUUGGAAUCAAUGGAAUCAUCAACGGAACAAUCACAAAUAAUAGAAACGCAGGAAGAAGUAUCACAAGUUACAGAAGCGCACGCGUUAACGCAUUCCGCAGAAAACUUUAAAAAGAAAACAGAAAUCUGCUAUUGUUGCAAAGCGGGGCCAUGAAAGACUAAGUACGCAGUUGCAAAAUGCGAGAAACAAUUUUAUCAUACUAGCCGAGCGUCAAAUUAUUUGUAUGGAAAUGUUUGCCAAAGCAAUGGAUAAGAUAGCCGAGAAUGACAAAGAACGCAAUGUAAUACUGCGUGUUUUGGCACAAAAUGAAAAGGUCCGAGAACAAACUUACCAAGACUUUACUGUGAUCAUAAAAGACUGUUUUGAAGCUUUGGGUCUUAAAAAGUGUUUAGAUUAAAUAUGACAAAGCUGUUUUGUCAUUCUAUAGUAGUGUUAACGAUAUUUUGUAUUUUGUACCUAAAAUUUUUCUAAGAAGGUUAAGUAUGUUAUGUUUUAUGGCAGUGUUGAAUAAUUUUUUUCGUUUGCAAAUUAAGUUAUUUCUUUUUCAAUGUAUAGCAUUGUUAGAAGUAUUUGUUGUACUCUGAGGUACCUUCUUAGUUUUAUGUUUAAUAACAUUAUUUAAAGUUAUGUUGUUCGUAAACUGUCAAUAAUAUUGUUACGUGCGAGCUCGCGUGUGUGAACGCGAGCUUUAUUCAGAAAAAUCAAUAUAUCGAUUUCCAUCGUCAGCUGACGGAUGUCACUUUGUUUUGAAGUUGUUUGUUUGUUUUGUUUUUGGUUUUUGGUUUUGAGCUGUCAAGCCGAGAGUUACCGUUUUCUUGUGCUUUUAAUAAACCGCUUUCUUAAGGGGGGCAAGUCAUGUAACGCGCUGAAAAUUGAGUGAAUUUUUGGAAUUUUGUUUGAGGAAAUUAUACAACCAAUUCUUUUGAAAUUUUCAAGGUAUGUUAUUGUAAUAUUGAAUUACUAAAAAAAUAUUUUUUGACAGAAAAAUAAUAUAUAUUUUAUAAAUAAUAAUAAUGUAAAUCUAAUGCGUCGACGGUGAAGUCACUUAUCGGCGUGCAAUGUAGCGCUGCUUGUAUUCAUCUGAAACAAAAAACCAAAUAGAUUUCUUUUUUGUACGGUUUGCGUUAUCGAUUGAACCUAUUGUUAAAGAAAAUAAUGCAAAAUUGUAAAAAUGGCGACACGUAGAAAAAAAA